rnacentral:rRNA from 1 species
UACGGGGGGGGCAAGCGUUGUUCGGAAUUACUGGGCGUAAAGGGCUCGUAGGCGGCCAACUAAGUCAGACGUGAAAUCCCUCGGCUUAACCGGGGAACUGCGUCUGAUACUGGAUGGCUAGAGGUUGGGAGAGGGAUGCGGAAUUCCAGGUGUAGCGGUGAAACGCGUAGAUAUCUGGAGGAACACCGGUGGCGAAGGCGGCAUCCUGGACCAAUUCUGACGCUGAGGAGCGAAAGCAUGGGGAGCAAACAGG